rnacentral:rRNA from 1 species
UAGAGUUUGAUCCUGGCUCAGAUUGAACGCUGGCGGCAGGCCUAACACAUGCAAGUCGAGCGGAUGAGUGGAGCUUGCUCCAUGAUUCAGCGGCGGACGGGUGAGUAAUGCCUAGGAAUCUGCCUGGUAGUGGGGGACAACGUUUCGAAAGGAACGCUAAUACCGCAUACGUCCUACGGGAGAAAGCAGGGGACCUUCGGGCCUUGCGCUAUCAGAUGAGCCUAGGUCGGAUUAGCUAGUAGGUGAGG